GAUGAACGCUGGCGGCGUGCUUAACACAUGCAAGUCGAACGGAGUGGCGAACGGGUGAGUAACACGUGGGUGAUCUGCCCCGCACUUCGGGAUAAGCCUGGGAAACUGGGUCUAAUACCGGAUAGUGUGGGAUGAGCUCGCGGCCUAUCAGCUUGUUGGUGGGGUAAUGGCCUACCAAGGCGUCGACGGGUAGCCGGCCUGUGAGGGUGUACGGCGACAUUGGGUCUGAGAUACGGCCCAGACUGCUACGCGUGGCAGCAGUGGGGAAUAUUGCACAAUGGGCGCAAGCCUGAUGCAGCGACGCCGCGUGGGGGAUGACGGCCUUCGGGUUGUAAACUCCUUUCGCUAGGGACGCGGUACCUAGAGAAGAAGCACCGGCUAACUCCGUGCCAGCAGCCGCGGUAAUUC
rnacentral:rRNA from 1 species